rnacentral:rRNA from 1 species
CGGCGAGUGAAGCGGCAAUAGCUCAAAUUUGAAAUCUAGUAUCUUUUGGUGCUCGAGUUGUAAUUUGUAGAGGAUGUUUCGGUAUUUAUGCUAAUUUAAGUCCUUUGGAACAGGGCAUCAUAGAGGGUGAGGGUCCCGUAUGUAAUUAGUUAUAUUUGCCAUGUGAAACUCCUUCGACGAGUCGAGUUGUUUGGGAAUGCAGCUCUAAUUGGGAGGUAAAUUUCUUCUAAAGCUAAAUAUUGGCCAGAGACCGAUAGCGCACAAGUAGAGUGAUCGAAAGAUGAAAAGCACUUUGGAAAGAGAGUUAAAUAGUACGUGAAAUUGUUGAAAGGGAAGCGCUUGCAAUUAGACCUGCUUAUAGUUAUUCAUCUAUGCCUUUGGGUUUAGUGCAUUUUUCUGUAAGUUAGGCCAGUAUCAGUUUAGGCGGUUGGAUAAAGAAUUCAGGAAUGUAGCUCCUUUCGGGGAGUGUUAUAGCCUGUUUUGUAAUGCAGCCAGCUUAGAUUGAGGUCCGCGCUUUAGCUAGGAUACUGGCGUAAUAGUUGUAAGCGGCCCGUCUUGAAACACGGACCAAGGAGUCUAACAUCUAUGCAAGUGUUUGGGUGUUAAACCCAUACGCGCAAUAAAAGUGAACGGAGGCGGGAACCUUUUAGGUGCACCGUCGACCGAUCCUGAUGUCUUCGGAUGGAUUUGAGUAAGAGCAUAGCUGUUGGGACCCGAAAGAUGGUGAACUAUGCUUGAAUAGGGUGAAGCCAGAGGAAACUCUGGUGGAGGCUCGCAGCGGUUCUGACGUGCAAAUCGAUCGUC